rnacentral:pre_miRNA from 1 species
AGCGGAGGAGCUGCUGUCUCGCACAGGAGCAAGUUACCGCGUUCGCUAGGCUGCAGUAACUUGCUCCUGUGAGAGGCAGCGGAUCCUAGCU